rnacentral:rRNA from 1 species
CACGUAGGGCGCAAGCGUUGUCCGGAAUUACUGGGCGUAAAGCGUGCGCAGGCGGUUGUGUAAGACAGAUGUGAAAUCCCCGGGCUCAACCUGGGAACUGCAUUUGUGACUGCACGGCUGGAGUGCGGCAGAGGGGGAUGGAAUUCCGCGUGUAGCAGUGAAAUGCGUAGAUAUGCGGAGGAACACCGAUGGCGAAGGCAAUCCCCUGGGCCUGCACUGACGCUCAUGCACGAAAGCGUGGGGAGCAAACAGG